GGAUUUUAUUUUAUUUAAAAAAAAAAAAACAGAGGAGGAUUUUGUUCUCAGGCAUGGAGAAUCCCUCAACGGGACUCUGGAUUUCCUCAACGGUAAAAAAUGGACGCGGAUAGUGCCUCAACAGUACUCAGAUUAUAGCCGUGAGAUGGGAGAAAAUCGACGACAUGUAUGAAAUGAUCAUUAGGUUACCGUUUAGAAAAGCACCAUUCACUCUUCUAUUUAUAGGCAAUUGAUUGAAAACAAGGGCAGAUUGUUCCUCAUUCAAUAUUUUUUUCGAUUGCGAGUGAUUGUCAUGUUUCUGGAUUUUAUUCAGAUAGUUCUUUGUUCUAUUUGUUUUUGUUUGCGUGUGAUCCUCUUUUGUGUUUUUAUUCAGUCUUUGUGUUUGGAUUUUUUUCUUUUUCAAUUUUCAUGGUAUUCUGUGGAUGGUGAAUUUUGAAUGGGGCAACAGUGAGGAGAGCAGUUGCUUGAGAGCAAGGAGGUAUUUGAUCACGGGACAUAUUCCACCAGAGCUUGGGAUUCCAUAGAGCCAGAGCUUGGGAGGUUGCAGAGCCUGCGGCAUAUGGAGAUCGGCUAUAAUUCUUAUUCAUGUGGGAUUCCGCCGGAGCUCGAGUAUUUGGACAUUGCUGGUGCUAAUCUUUCUGGCGUAAUGCCACAAGGUCAUUUGUUGAUGGCUCUGCUUUUGUAUUGGUGGAUCCUGCUAGUUUGCUUUUGUCAGCUCUAGUGGAUAUGUGUUAGCUGCUUCAUUGUAGACUUUUCUCUUUCCUCAAUUAUUUUGUGGCUGCCUUCUAUGUGUUAUUUUGCUAUCCAUGGUGGUUAAAGUUUAAGGUCUACUUCAGCUGUUGGUUUUU